UCGAGGAUCUUCCGCAAUGGGCGAAAGCCUGACGGAGCGACGCCGCGUGUGGGAUGAAGGCCCUCGGGUUGUAAACCACUGUCACGCUCUAGGAAAUUCUCCGUGCUAAUACCACGGAGGGCGACUAAAGCGAGAGGAAGCACCGGCUAACCCUGUGCCAGCAGCCGCGGUAAGACAGGGGGUGCAAACGUUGUUCGGAAUCACUGGGCAUAAAGCGCACGUAGGCCGUCCUCUAAGUCCGAUGUGAAAGCCCCCAGCUUAACUGGGGAACUGCACCGGAUACUGGAGGACUCGAGGGUGGCAGGGGUGGGUGGAACUCCAGGUGGAGCGGUGAAAUGCGUAGAUAUCUGGAGGAACACCGGUGGCGAAAGCGGCCCGACUGGGUCGACAUCUGACGCUGAGGUGCGAAAGCUAGGGGAGUCAAACGGGAUUAGAUACCCCAGUAGUCCCUGAGCGGGCUGGCAAGGCGCAU
rnacentral:rRNA from 1 species